GUAUAAGCAGGGCUGGUUUGGAUAGAACUGUAUAUGAUUUUAAUUCUAGGAAUUAAUUUUCAAUUGUCUUCAUGUAACAUGGACAACACGGUUGGUAUAGGGACUGGAGUUAAUUUUGACCACACUUCAAUGAUUAAGCAUGAUAAUCUGAGCGGCUUCAGAGCAAUAUGGGAUCGGGAUGAUUCACACAUCUUCAUUGGCAAUAUGAAAAGAGGAGUUGAUGUUAUCUCCCUAACUCUUGAAAAAACAAUAUUCACUCUACAAAGCCCACACAUGUCAGCAGUUCCACGCAGGUUUGAUGCACACCCUUCAACUGUUGGCAUGCUUGCAGGAGCCACUUGUUUGGGCCAGGUUUAUAUGUGGACAUUGGGCUAGCAACCUCAGUUUCUUUCUGUAAAACAGGACUGCUGUUGCAUAUUGAUUUUUUUUUUUUGGGGUAGAAUUGACAGAGUUUGUGCAGUUUGAUGUCUUGCAAAAUGACGAGAAACUGCUUUUGUUAGGCAGAGUGACUAGAAAUCCGGGUCCUUGAUCAAAUGGUUUUGUAUAGAUCAUGCACACUUUCAUUGUGGAAUAAGAAUGAGUAGUUUAGUACAAGAAGCAAAGGAAGUUGGAAUCUCAUGUAGUAGAUCGGUAUCCUUUUGACUAAUAUUUUGUUCCAAUUACUGGCAUUCUGAGUCUUGAAUAUUCUUCAUUUUAAUAUCCUUUUGACUAUCA